GGCGUUUUUACGUGGCUGCCCCUGUACGAAUAAGCCACCGCCGCUGCAAAAACAGAAAUGGCUUUUCACCUCCCGCGUCCCCAAAUCCGGGCGCAAAAUUUCUCUCCCAAAACCAUCCUCCCUCUUCUCUCCCCAAAUCGUCUCAUCCCCAAAUCGUGCACGUGCUAAUAUUUCUCUCCCAAAACCCUUCUUCCCUCUUCUCUUCCAAAUUGCCCCAUCCCCAAAUCCCGAAAGUCUCUCUCUCUCCAACGUCCCUCCACUCCUCAAUCAAUUGUUCCUCUCUUGCUCUCAGUCUCAAUUUCCUCUCUCUCUCUCUCUCUCUCUCUCUCUAUCUCUUUCGUUGAAGAUGGUCGGUUUGCCAUCCACGCCGACAUCGACGCUGAUAGAGGUGAGUUUGGGGAUGAUCAGAUCUCUGAGUUCAAGGAGGCAUUUGGCAUGGGAAGUUGAAUGAAGCAUAAAUGGUGUUUGACGAAAUGUGUAAGAGAGGGAUAAGUGCUGCUAAUGCAACAUUAGCUGCUUUGGUUUAUGGAGGGAAUAAGAUAGCUUGAUGCUGAGACUCAACAAUACGGGGCUGAAGAGCUACAAAGCAUUAAACAAAUACGGGUUUGUUAGUGGUGCUCUAUUUAAUGUAGAAGUUGUCCAUAUUCAGGGACGGUUUGGUAGACGCCUAAAUUGAGUUCAUCUCAUAUUCGUCAAUCUUUAUCAUGUAUUAGAGAUCACAUUUCAGGAUUAAAAAGAAUCUUGAUAACCAACAUUCAUUAUCUCUAAUACAUAUUAUGAGUAAAUAAAAUGAGAUGAACUCAUUUUUAAGUGUCUAGCAAACAACCCUGUAUAUAAUGCAUGAAAAUGUUUCCUUGUUAUUGUUUCCAUACAUUUUUUUUUUAUAUUGUUGAAUCUUAAAAUUUUUUAUAUUGAAGCAUGUUUUUAACUUCUUUUUUUUUUU